GGCCCCGUGGCCUAAUGGAUAAGGCGUCGGACUUCGGAUCCGAAGAUUGCAGGUUCGAGUCCUGCCGGGGUCG
rnacentral:tRNA from 1 species